UAGCUGCAGUAAAUUAACUGUACUAAGGUAGCAUAAUAAAUUGCUUUUUAAUUAAAAGCUAGAAUGAAAGAUUAGAUGAAAAGCUAACUUAUUUUAAAAAUAAAAAGCAAAAUUUAAUUUCUAAGUUAAAAAUCUUAGAUAAAAUUUUAAAAGACAAGAAGACCCUUUAGAAUUUUAUGCACAAAGUUGACUAUACAAAUCACAAUGCAUUAAGUUGGGGAGACUGCAAAACACAAAUCUUUCGCUCACACUAAUCACUUAAAAGUGCAAAUUAAUUAUCCAUAAAUGAAAUAUACUAAAUUACCUAAGGGAUAACAGCGCAAAAUUUUUUGAAAGAUCUUAUUAAUAAAAUUUAUUGCGACCUCGAUGUUGGAUUAA
rnacentral:rRNA from 1 species